rnacentral:tRNA from 1 species
GGGAAUAUAGCACAACGGUAGUGCAACUGUAUUAUGAAUGGAAAUUAAAAUAGUUCUGUAGACUGUGGGUUCGACUCCCACAUUCCCA